CCCAGUCAGUCUCAGAGGACAAAUCCGACCUGUGUUGUCCUUGUUGUUAUUCCUCUCAGAGGUCACCGAGAAAGCUGUAGACACAGGUGCCAACCUCAUGCUGUCAGUUGAAACACAGACUAUUUUAGUAUUUUGAAGCCGCUGUGAAAUGGAAGAAUAUUUUCAGCAGCUGCUGGGUUCCUGGUUCGAAUCAACCAAGAUGAUGAAACCUGAAGAUGGAACAAAUUACAUGAGAAGGUGGCCCAGAGAAAGCCAACUGUUCUCAACCUCUCCAUUGCCCCAUUCUUCCAAGAGCUCACUGACUUUGAAUGAAGACCUCUAGUGAGUUCUCCGAGGAACCUUAAGAGCUGAAGAAGAACCCUUUUAAGAACCUUCAUUUUAUUCAGUGUACUGUAGAGUAAGCACUUGACUAGAGUAUACAUACUGUAGUAGAUAAUGGCCAUAAUAUUAGUUGUUUUAUGUAAUGUUUCAUCAGUUUGGUUUUUUAAUUAAGACCUUCCUGCUUUGGUUUUGGUAUUGUAUUGGCUUUCUUUUGAAUCAGUUGUAUCAGAUUGUGUUCUAACAGAUAUUGGGUAAAAAAUACUAUAUAAUAUAAUUGUCACACCCUAAUCUGUUUCACCUGUCCUUGUGAUUGUCUCUACCUCCUCCAGGUGUUGCUGAUUUCCCCCAUUUGUAUUUAUCCCUUGUUUCCUGUCUCUCUGUGCCAGUUUGUCUUGUCUGUUUUUCCAAGUCAACUAGCGGUUUUCUCGGUCACCUGCUUUUUGCUAUUCUCCUUUCUCUAGUCCUCCCGGUUUUGACCCUUGCCUGUUUCUGGACUCUGUACCCACCUGCCUGACCAUUCUGCCUGUCUUGACCACGAGCCUGUCUGCCACUCUGUACCUCCUGGACUCUGAUCUGGUUUUGACCUUUUGCCUGUCCACGACCAUUCUCUUGCCUACUCCUUUGGAUUAAUAAACAUUGUAAGUCUCCAAC